rnacentral:lncRNA from 10 species
UUUAACAGCAGGAAGGAUGACUGUAGCCUGUGGAUUGUACUGCAGUAGGAAACUGUCCUAGCAAGGCUCCACUUUGCCCCAGCUUCAAGCUGGAAAGGAGGAGAACAUGAAACAUUGCUUGAAGACAAUGGCCGAGACAGCAGGUCCCACCCUGCACAGCCACCAGCAUCUCUCCCCUCAGCCCUGUCUCCUCUUCUGCAGUUGGGAUCUGCACAUUUAAGCCUGAAAUUGUCCUGUGAAGUGAAGUAUGAUCGGACAGCCUCUUUUCAGCUUUUAUGACAAUGGAGACAGAGGAAUUGUGGCUCUUGCCAAGGUCACAGGAUUGGAAUACAGAGCCAAGCCACCCCAGGACAUGCAAGAGCCUCAGAAGGGAAAAAAGCCCAGCAGGAAGGGAGAACAAGUAGCCUCUGUCCUGAAGUUGUAACAGCCAGGGGCCAGGAUGGAGGAGGAGGACCCCAUAAUCUGCCCAUCUGGGACUUGGCAGGGGACCUGGGAAAAUGUACCCCAACCCAUCCCUUAAGGGCCUUUGUCUUUGGCCCAUUGGCCUAGCAUCUACUUCUUCACCGUGUCUGUUCUUGUCACACCUAGUCAGGUCUGUUUGGGUCUGAGGUGCAUGGAACAUUCUGGGUAGGCCUCCAGCAAACGGAAGCUCUUCACCGUGUUUCCAGCCUGGGACCAAGGGCAGCAUACUGGCAAAGUUGCCAAAGCAAGGGACUCCAGCCUCUUAGGAGUUAAUGACUCCCUCUCCCCAGCUGUCCUCCCCUUGGUGCUCCUCUUCCUCCCUCCUCCUGCUCACAGCAGGCAGGGCCUAGACCCGGGAGCCAUGCUGCUGUGCUGUUGCCAGGGGAGCACGGAGGCAGAUCUGAGCUAUGCAGGGAAAAGGCCCAGCCUGUCAAAGUGUCUGAGAUGAACCGCCGCCGUCCCUGUGCAGCUGGGCUCAGACGUGUCUCAGCUCUUGUUCUGUGCCUGAGAAUGGCGAAACCCAGUGAGGUUCAAGGGCAAACUCGCUAUUCAUUAGUCAGGGGUUCUUGACGUCCCGUCUCUCCCAGGGAUGAGUUCCCCCCUCCUCUUUCUCCCCCUCCUAUGACACAUUCCUGGGUGCCUUUGGUGAGGACUGCACACCCUCCUCCUGCCUAGCCCCCUCUCCAAAGGCCCCUGAAUAAACUCCCCCCAAGGAGACCAGGCAGGGCAGAGACAAUGGCUGCAGGAAAUCAUUCAGGCGGGACAUGCUGGCCUGCCCUCCACCCAGUCCCCCUGUGGGCCCCACUCCCUUCUGAUUCAGGGCACCCUUGGGCCCCCAGCCUAUACAGGCCUGGACAGGAAGAAACCACUGGGAACCACCCUAAGGACAACAUGCUAGUCCAGUGCCAUUCUUCGCUGGCUCUGUGGGUGCCUUUGUGGCCUGUACCGACUGGCUGGCUAAUUUUGUGGUUUCUGUACCAUCACAUGCCUAUUUUAAGACACUCUCCAGCACUGUCGGUUAGGGAGUGUAAAUUUUGCAAUAUUUUCUGAAAUGUGGCAAUAUCAAAAUGUAAAAGGCACACAUACUUGGUCACAAACAAAUGGCACUAUUUACUCUGUGGGCAUAUUUGUAAAAGUUGCCAAAGAAUUAUAUACAAGGAUGUUCAUCAGAGCAUUUCUUUUGAAGAGUAAAGAAAUGGACAUGAACCUGUGGUCCGUUCAUACGGUGGAAUACCUAUGCAGCUGUAAAAAUCAGUGUGGUAGAUCUCCGUAUAUGAGUUGAUGUGGAAGGUUGGCCAGUUCACAUGAUAAGGUGAAUAGAAUAAGUUACAGAACAGGCUGUAGAGUAUGAUCUUAUUUGUAGAUGUUUAAAACUGAGUCAUAAGUAUGCUUAUAUACAGAUCGUUUCUGGAAGUAUGUACUGGAAGUCUACCUCUGGGGAGUGGGGAUGGGGGAGUGCACUCUUCUAUACUGUUAUAUUUUCUUUUCAUGCUCCUAAGGUACUUUUAUUGGAAGAUGUAAAGCGGUUCAAUGUAAUAGGCUUAACUUCUGUCAACUAAGUUGGCGUGGGUGCUUUAAGAGGGUGGUAGUGAUGUUGCUGGAGAAAGUAUCCCACAGUCACUGGUGGCUUCAGCCACGGGCCAUUUUGGGGCCUAAUAAUCACAUAUCAUCAUGGUUGCUAGUGUUAAUCGAAAACCUACUAAGUGCCAGGCUUACUGUCUCUGGGUCUUGCUUACGUGGAUGUCAUUUUUCCAGUUGCACCAAAUCGAAAGAGGUUAAUUGGUUUGUUGGAGUUCCUUUGUAGGUGAAGGGCAGAGCCAGGAGCUUGGCUAGGGACAGGGGAGGUGAGUGGGGGAUGGUGGAUAGGUCUUGGCUCCCAGUUUCCUUCUGGGCAGACAUUGCCCCUCUGCCCUGAGGACCUGCUUGUUUGGGGGAAGAGGCCUUUAGAGGCACCAGGGUCAUGCCAGGUGUUGGACAUGGUGAACUGGGAAGUGCUCCCAUCUGGCCACAGCGCAGAAGUAUCACCGUGCUGGGGGAUGGGGAACAGGGCUGUGAAUGGGCCUAUUUGCAUAAGCAGCAUGUGUCUGGAGAGAAAGACAUCACAGAGCAGAAGAGUGCGGGUGCCCAGGAGUGCACUUGCCACCCCUACUUCAUCCCUGAAAGAGUAAAUGGCCUGGAAGGUGUCUCUGAGAGGUAAUGCCGCACACCACCCUCCCUGGGGGCAGGGUCAGGCUACACCUGCCUUAGGUCGGGGGCUGCAGCAGCCUGAGAGCUCUCAGUAGGGCCUCAGUAGCCUGGGAGGGAGCAGGGGCAGGGGGCAGGGAAAGAGGCGUAAUGGGGCUGUCCAGAGGGGCCUGGGAAACCUGGUCCCUGAGGCCUGGGCACAGCUACAAUCACUUCAAAUUGGCUGUGGGGCCAGUGGACUGGGAAGGAAAAAAGCAAUAAGAGUGACCAAGUGCAGAAGGCUGUCAGGUCCCAGGUCACAUGCCUUAGUGCAGUGACUCCUCAUCAUUUUAUGGGGUGUGGGUGUCGUUGGUACACCCAUUUUACAGAUGAGGACACCGAGGCCCAGAAAAGUUAAGUUACAUGUCCUAAGUCACACAGCUUGUAAGUGCCAGAACUGAGAUCAAAACCAAGUCUCUUUGACUUUAAAGUCUGUACUCUGACCCCAAAGAGAUCCUGUUUGGCCACUUAUAGGAGGUCCCUAAAGCUGCAGACUCCCCUUGCCGGCACCCACAUAUAGAGACAUUAACCCUUCCCCUGCAGGGUCACCUCAAAUAGUCUUUUAGCUGGGCUUCUCCUGCAAUUCCACCUAAUGCCAUCCCCUGGGUUUUGCCCAAACCUGAACUGGGCAGUGGGGUGAGAGGAGGGGUUUACAGGGUUACAGAGCCUCAUACAGAUAGGAGCCCAUGGCUGCUGGUCAUCUGCAUUCCUGCAGGAUUGGCUGUUCCUUGGGGUCCUUGGCAGGAAAAUGAGGAUUGCUCCGAGGCCUGCUCCAGUACUUCCCAGAGGCUGGCCUGGUGUGGGGCUCUGGGAAGGCUGAGGCUGGAGAAGCGUAAGUAGGAGGGCAGAGAUGGCACUCAGGUAGCUUGAAUCACCAGGACCCUUCCAAGCCCCACAGGUUCUGAGGGAGUACUAGGGCCAGCUCUGGGAGAGGUCUCUUCCUAUGCUGUGAACCCCCUGCCUUUCUUGCAGCCUACAACGAAUAAAUUUUCUUUGCAAAGGCUU